AGUGAACGCUGGCGGUAUGCCUAACACAUGCAAGUCGAACGGCAGCACAGUAAGAGCUUUCUCUUACGGUUGGCGAGUGGCGGACGGGUAAGGAAUACAUCGGAAUCUACUUUUUCGUGGAUGAUAACGUGGAGAAACUGACGCUAAUACCGCAUACAACCUACGGGUUAAAGCAGUGGAUCUUCGGACCUUGCGCGAUUCAAUUAGCCGAUGUCGGAUUAGCUAGUUGGCUGGGUAAAGGCCCACCAAGGCGACGAUGCGUAGCUGGUCUGAGAGGAUGAUCAGCCACACUGGAACUGAGACACGGUCCAGACUCCUACGGGAGGCAGCAGUGGGGAAUAUUGGACAAUGGGCGCAAGCCUGACCCAGCAACACCGCGUGGGUGAAGAAGGCCUUCGGGUUGUAAAGCUCUUUUGUUGGGAAAGAAAAGAAGCAUGUGAAUCCACCGACGUCCUGACGGUACCCAAAGAAUAAGCACCGGCUAACUUCGUG
rnacentral:rRNA from 1 species